AUCCGUGGAAAGAGGCAAGGAGGAUGUGGUGGCCUCUGCCCUGUAUCACCCUAGCUACCCACACCUGCGGGGCAGAGAGUGGACCCAGAGGCAGGCAGAGCCCCCGCCAAGCACACACCCUCCGCACCUGUGACCUAGGGGCCCGGGGGCCCAGGGAGGGAGGCACAGCAAGUGCCCCGCUGGGGCGGGCAUGGCUGACUUUCCUGGGGCCUUCCCCCCAGGGACACAGGUUCCCGUGGGGGCUGAAGAGGUCCACCCAGGGCCAGGAGGGGGGUCUAUGAAGCAGGGAGGACACUAAAACUGGAAGAGGCUGGGGGACCAGACCAGAGUUCAAGCAACUCUGGCCACCCACCCUGUCCCCAAAGGAAGGGGACCCCCCCCCCCAAUCCACUUGCCCUGCCACAGCCCCUGGCACUGGCCUAAAGCUUACUGGGGCACCUGCUGUCUCUCCUCCGGUCCUGGCCCAUGCCCUGGGGCUGCCUGCUCAGACCCCGGUGUGGCUAGGGGGUCUGCAGACAGGCUGGGGACAGGGCCGCGCUGUGGGAGCGCUGGCCGGCUGUGAUUUACAGCUCCUGCUGCGCUCGGUGGCACCGGAAAAGCAGGGUGAGCAGGGAGAAAACACGGCGCGGCUUUUCCCGAUCCCCAUUUCCUCUCCAGACAGCACGCGUGAGCUCCUGGGGCCUGAACAUCUGGGAAAUUUAAUUUUACAAUUUCGGCUGUGCAGCAGCGUGCCCUCCUCCCCAAAGUGCGCAGGGAAGCCGGGAGCAAGGACCGAGACAGAAAGACUACGAUUCGCAGUUAGAGGUGGACGCCUCGGGGCUCUCCGCGGAGCAGCCCCUCCCCCUGACCCGACUCAGGCCUGGGCUUCCUGUGAGGGCACCUCUGGCUCCAGUGGGGCCAAUGGACGGACAAGCGGCGACAGGACUCUGCACUGGCCCCAGCUGGCCCAGGUCCACUGGAACCUUCUGUGGCGGCUUUCUACCUGGGUUUUCUUCUGGUCACUACGCGCUGGUAUUUUGUGUCUUUGAUAUGAUAAUAUAAAGUCUGGAAACUUUGUAUAAUUAAAAACAAAACAGUAUGGUCCAACCUCGGAAGUACUGUUCUCUGGAAGGCUCAGAACCCAGCCUGAGCCCAGCCCAAGACCACACUCCCAGCCCUCAGAGCGGUCUCUUCAUGCUCCGUCCUCCCCGGGCCCAGAGGCGCCCGUUCCCAGGGGCUGGGCCGACCCUCCCAGGCCUGAGCAGUGAGGCACUUCCGCCCGGCCUGGUGGCUGAAGGAGACAGGCGAGAGUGAGCGAGGCUAGGGAAGGAGAGAGGGAGCCCGCUGCCACACAGCAAGGGGCCGGAGCAGUCCAGCGUCCACUCCCAGGGCCUGCCUGGCCCGGGGCCUCCCUGCAGGGGUGAGGAGGCCAGAGCCAGCAGCACAAUCAUGCCAAGCCUUGGGGCCUCGGCCUCUGCAAACAGAGACCCAAGAAGCGGAAACCUGGGGGAGGUUGACCGAGGGGCACCGCCACUGGGGCAGGGUUCCAGCCUGGGUGGGCCUGCGGGCACAGGCCAGAUGGCACCCACCUAGGGCACCCAGGCCAGCCCUGCACUCAGCCACUCGCAGCACUGCUCACUCGGGAAGGAGCCCUGGCCGCCUACUGCUCUGCCCCACUGAGCUCCUACAAAGGCCCCACCUGCCUGGGAGGAGGGCAAUUCCGAGCCCCCUCCUCGAGCUGUGCACAGCUGGCUGGCCAUUAAAACCCUGCAGGUGACAAUUACGGUUUAGUGGCUCGAGCUCUGCUGGCACAGCACAGAAGAAAGGCAGGGGCGGCCCUCUGUGAGCCACCUCCCCCACGCUGGCCAGGCGGGCAGGCAGCCUGACUUCCGGCCAGGCCUGGUAGGCAAUGGCUGAGGGCGCCAGGUGCCGGCCCUGGGCCCUCCCAGCCCUCGGCAUAGGCUCAGGGGCCCCAACUGACACGCUUUCCUGGGGCCCAGGGAGAGGCCAGGUGCUGGCCCACGUGGGCACCCCAACAGGGCAGGGCCAGAGCUGCCCCCCUCCUCUGCACAGAGGGGCUCCUGGGAACAGCAAAGCAGGAAGUGGUGGAGUAAUUCUGGAGGAAAUUCUCAAAGCCAGAGCCAUUAAGGGCUAGAGGGGGGCUGUGUCCAACGUGAUAGAAAUAUAACAGGAUAAAAAGUCACCACGGCAGGUUCCAUUCAGAGAGAAACCCAACCCCAAAUUUCCUUUCCCUAAUCCUGCAGGAGCCUCCAGCUGGCCAGAGGAAGGAGGGAGAGGGCAGGCCGGGUCACUGCAGAAGCCCCCACCCCACCUGCCUGCCUGGGGAGCCAGGACCCAGGCCAGAGACACGGGGGGCCAGAUGGGGGCUGAGAAAGGUGUCCCCUCUCCUCCCAGGCGGGAUGUGGUGGAGGCGUCCAGGGAGGCAGGUGUACCCCCAGGAUCUCUGCACCUGCCCCCCACCCCCGCUUCACUGAGCACUGGGCCCAGUUCUGGGGGGUGGGCGGGGGCAUGGCCCACCUGCCCCUCCCUGGCCAGAAUCACAUCUCCACACCUGAGCCUGGAUGGGGGCUGCAGACCCCCCUCAGAAAGCCCCCCAGGAUGAUGAGUACCCGAGCGGGCGCCUUGUGGUCACAGAGCAGUGCAGCAGGAGGUGUAGACAGAUGGGCACCACGCACACAUGAGGCUGAGAGGAGAGUGGAAGCAGAGGAGACACCUUGAGCCCCAGGGCUGACGGGGUGUCAGGAGGCCCCCACAGGGGGGUCUCGCAAAUCUGGAAAACUGGGAGAAGACAGGCCGCUGGGAUGGUCCCCAGAGACCUAGCCUGUGGGGGCACAGGGCGCACAGUUCUCCACAGCCGAGCCUGUGGCUCCAACAGCGGCUGCAGCUUGGCCGACUCAGGCCUGGGCAGCGCGCCCGGUGCUCCCCGAGCUGCACCGGUAGCCGCGGCGGCCGGCAGAGAGGGCCUGGCCCGCCAGCCAACAGGAGAGAGCGGAGGGGCGGGGGAGGAGUGCUCCGU
ensembl:lncRNA